rnacentral:lncRNA from 1 species
AUGGAUGAGGAAAGAAUUAGAGAAUGUGGAGGAGAAGGAGGCUGGUGUGUCACUCUUAAGUGGCAAUGGGUAGAGGCACGUAAUCAGUUAUUGAGUGGUAUUCCCGAACAGGAACGGAAAAAACAAAAAGGUAAGUAUCAGCAGAAAUAUGAGGAAGUGAUCAGUAAGUACGGAUUGCAUGACGAGGAUUUUGCGGAUUUGGCAGCCCUCCUGAUGCAGGAGGAUCAGAGAGCAUUGAGGGAAGUGGAAGAACUAAAGAAGACAACAGCAAGUGGAAUAAUGAUGAAGAGGAAGUGGAAGAAGGAAAUGGAGGAAAAGGAAGCUCACAGACUGAUGGUGCAUAAUAUGGCACUUGCGGUGAGAGCGAUGCAGGUUCGGACGGCAGUAGGUGAUAAGAAAGAGACAGGUAAGUGUGCGAAGAACAGAAAGAAUACGGAGGCUCGUCCGUCCCCGCCUGAAGCGCCCCCACCACCACCUCCUAUUCAGGCCCCGGUCUGGCGGAUAAGGGGAGGAGAGUUAGAUGUGGAGGAAGAAAGGGAAGAUAUUGGGUAUUUAUUGGGAGAUUUAGAGCAGGGGAAGAUGGAGGUAGGGAGUCGGACAUCCACACCGUUAGAGGCGGAGGGCCGACGUAGAGGGAGUGAGAAUAAGGCCAGUGUAAGGGACGAGGGAACAGUAAGUCAGAAGAAGGUGGAGCCAUUUCAGGUGAGACAGGAUAGGGAAUGUAGGGAGAGACAGAAUCAGUGGGAUAGAGAGGAAGAGACAUUGAUUGACUUAGGGAUAGAUGAGGAAGAUGUAGUGGAGAAUGAGAAUGGGCAAGAGGGGGUGGGGGUCACCCUGAGAGGUCAGCUGCAGGUGCAUGAGCCACAGCAAGCACCCAGAUAUCUGUUGAGAAGCCAUGCUCCAGCCCCACCCAUACAAGCGCCCCUCUUGAUGAAAGGGGGAAGGCACCAGUACAGACCAUGGUCAUUUGCGGAUAUGAAUGGAAUAGUGGAAAAACUCCCACAUCCUACAGAGGGAGGAGGUAAGUGGUUAAAUAAGUUUGAACAAAUUACACAGGGACAAAAAGUGGCCUUAGGUGACUGGAGAGCUCUGAUGGGACAGGUACUCUCAGUUUGGGAUGUCAAUCAAAUUGAAGAAAGUGCUGGAUGCAUCCACUCACCAGACUGCACCCCAUUUAUUGAGUUGGCUACUCAAAUUGGAAAAGCAAUGCGUGUAAAGUUCCCAGCCCCGCGGGGGCUGCGCACCUUCUCACAUUUGCCCCUAAAGCAGGUGAGAGGCCAACUACAUAUCUUAAUCGAUGUAAAGACGAAUGGACUAAUUCCGUGGGGGUUCAUCCACAUUCAGAGAAAAUUCAGGAGGAACUUUUCCGGAAGGCGGUGCUGGGAGGAGCCCCUAAGUCCGUGA